rnacentral:tRNA from 6 species
GGUGGGGUUCCCGAGCGGCCAAAGGGAGCAGACUGUAAAUCUGCCGUCAUCGACUUCGAAGGUUCGAAUCCUUCCCCCACCACC